UCCGUGGUCAAAAGGGAAAGAGCCCAGAUCGUCAAUUAAGGUCCCAAAGAUAUAGCUAAGUGGAAAACGAUGUGAUUUUGCGUAAACAACCAGGAUGUUGGCUCAGAAGCAGCCACUCAUUCAAAGAGUGCGUAACAGCUCACUGGUCGAGUGAAAUUGCGCGGAAAAUUACCGGGGCUAAGCUAUACACCGAAAUUGCGGAUUCAAGGAUUUAUCCUUGAGUGGUAGAGGAGCAUUCUGUUGUAGGUUGAAGUAUGACCGUAAGGACAUGUGGACGAAGCAGAAGAGAGAAUGCUGGAAUAAGUAGCGAGAGCAAGGUGAGAAUCCUUGCCGUCGAAAGUCUAAGGUUUCCUGGGGAAGGUUCGUCCGCCCAGGGUUAGUCGGGACCUAAGGAGAGGCCGAGAGGCGUAUCUGAUGGACAGCAGGUUGAUAUUCCUGCACUAUAGAUAUACUUAAAAGAUGCAAGGGACGCAGAAGUGGAAGGGAUGCGAGGAAGAGGAAAAACUCGUAUCGAAAGAUAUAGUGAAAAUAAAGUAACGAAUUCCCAAGAAGCACGCUGACGAGAAAAGCUUGUAGAUAUUGUAUAUAAAUACCCGUACCGCAAACCGACACAGGUAGAUGAGGAGAGGAUCCUAAGACGAGCGGGAGAAGCAUUGUUAAGGAACUCGGCAAAUUGACCCCGUAACUUCGGAAUAAGGGGUGCCUAUGUAAAAGUAGGCCGCAGAGAAUAGGCCCAAGCAACUGUUUAACAAAAACACAGGUUUCUGCUAAAUCGAAAGAUGAAGUAUAGGAGCUGACGCCUGCCCAGUGCUGGAAGGUUAAGGGGAAGAGUUAAGACUUGAUCUGAAGCUUAGAACCAAAGCCCCAGUGAACGGCGGCCGUAACUAUAACGGUCCUAAGGUAGCGAAAUUCCUUGUCAGGUAAGUUCUGACCCGCACGAAAGGCGUAAUGAUUUGGGCACUGUCUCGACAAUGUACCCGGCGAAAUUGUAGUACUAGUGAAGAUGCUAGUUACCUGCGACAAGACAGAAAGACCCCAUGGAGCUUUACUGCAGCUUGAUACUGGGUUUCGGUAAUUUAUGUACAGGAUAGGUGGGAGACUAUGAAGUUAUGGCGUCAGCCGUAAUGGAGUCACCGUUGGGAUACCACCCUUAAGUUAUUGGAAUUCUAACUUGUGAUCAUGAACUGGUCAGAGGACAAUGUCAGGCGGGCAGUUUGACUGGGGCGGUCGCCUCCUAAAGAGUAACGGAGGCGCCCAAAGGUUUCCUCAGCGCGGACAGAAAUCGCGCGAAAGAGUGUAAAGGCAGAAGGAAGCUUAACUGAGAGACAGACAUGUCGACCAGAUACGAAAGUAGGGCUUAGUGAUCCGGCGGUAGUGAAUGGAAAUGCCGUCGCUCAACGGACAAAAGUUACCCUGGGGAUAACAGGCUUAUCUCCCCCAAGAGUUCACAUCGACGGGGAGGUUUGGCACCUCGAUGUCGGCUCAUCGCAUCCUGGAGCGGAAGUACGUUCCAAGGGUUGGGCUGUUCGCCCAUUAAAGCGGUACGCGAGCUGGGUUCAGAACGUCGUGAGACAGUUCGGUCCUUAUCUGUCGCAGGCGUAGGAUAUUUGAAGGGAGCUGUCCUUAGUACGAGAGGACCAGGAUGGAGAUACCGAUGGUGUAUCAGUUGUCACACCAGUGGCAUGGCUGAGUAGCUAAGUAUCGAUGGGAUAAACGCUGAAAGCAUCUAAGUGUGAAGCCCACCCUAAGAUAAGAUGUCCCAUACCGUAAGGUAGU
rnacentral:rRNA from 1 species